GGCUACUAUACUGUUAUGAAUAUAAAGCCCUUUGUACUCAUAAGUUUUCUGUCAUUAGAUCAACCCCUUUGACUAUUUUCACCCGUUAGAUCAUACUAUUCAAGCAACCACCCACUCGACCCUAGGGGACCACUAUCAUCAUAACCAUACAUCUUUUCAUCCAACGGCCAAAAGCUUAUGAGUACAAAGGGCUCUAUACACAUAAGAGCAUAGUAGCCCUAGCCUAUAUGUAGGUUUUGUGUGCUAUUAGGAGCACGGAGGUCUUCGUGCUCCUAAGCCAUUUUCAAUGAUGGAGUUUAUGAAUCGACGAUCGGCUCCGUUAGACUUGAUCUAGCAUAUUUGAAGUAUCUAGAAAAUAAAUUUUGUGAUUUUUCGAUAUCAUUUACAUAGUGAUUGAAAGUGUUCAAAAUCAACGGUUGAAAAUAAAAAUCCCACAAAAAGUGGUGAUAUAGCUCUAAAAUUUUUUAUCAGAGAUAUUGAUCUUGCAAUAAAUAGUACAAAUAAUUUUCUAUCAAAAUUUCAUCUGAUUUGAAUACUUCUACACCAUUAAACUUGUAAAGGAUAUACAUCAACCAUUAAAAAUUAUUGAUUUUAAAUCCUUUCGAUCGCUAGGUAAAUGAUAUCGAAAAACAGCAAAACUUAUUUUCUAGAUAUUUUAAAUACGCUAGAUCAAAUCUAGCAGAGCCGAUCAUCAAUUCAGAAGUCCCAUCAUCGAAAACGACUUAGGAGCACGGAGGCCUCCGUGUUCCUAACAGCACACAAGACCCUCUAUAUAUAUAUAUAUAUAUAUAUAUAUAUAUAUAUAUAUAUAGAGAGAGAGAGAGAGAGAGAGAGAGAGAGAGACCUAGGCUGGAAUACUAUCAAUAGCACAAAGCUAUUGGUGCUAUUAGGUUUUCGGCCUUUGGAUGAAAAAAUGUACGGUUAGGAUGAUGUGGGCCCCCUAGGGUUGAGUGAGUUAUUGGUUUAAUAAUAUAAUCUAACGGGUAAAAAUAGUCAAAGGUUUAAAUCUAACGGGGAAAAACUUGAUAGCAUCAAACUCUUGGUGCUAUCAAUAAUAUCCUAGCCGGACUAUAUAUAUAUAUAUAUAGAGAGAGAGAGAGAGAGAAAGAGAGAGAGAGAGAGAGUAGGGCUACUAUACUCUUAUGAGUAGAGCCCUUCGUACUCAUAAGUUGUUUUCGAUGAUGGGGCUUCCGAAUCGACAUCCACUCCGUUAAAUAUGAUCUAGAGUAUUUGAAACUUCUAAAAAAUAAAUUUCGUAAUUUUUCGAAAUCAAAAUAAAGUUCAUCAAGCGGAUAUAAAAUGAACGAUCAAAAUUGAACGACGUCUUAAAAAUGGAUGAUCGGAUCCUUCAAUUUAAGAUCGGAGUUAUUGAUCUUUAUCAAUGUAGUGAAUAGAAUUUUCUAUCAAAAUUUUAACUAAUUUCGAUUCUUUUACACCGUUAAACUAGCAAAUAUUCCAUAUCGGCCGUUAAAAAUUGUCAAUUUUCUGACCUUUUGAUCGUAAGGUAAUAAUGUUGAAAAAUUAUAAAAUGUGAUUUCUAGACGUUUUAAAUGCUCUAGAUAAUAUUUACCGGUGUGGAUCGUCGAUUCAGAAGCUCUAUCAUCGAAAACAAUUUAUGAGUACGAGAGCGAUCGUACUCAUAAGAGUAUAGUAGCAGGACUCUAUAUAUAGAGAGAGAGAGAGAGUGGAUCGUCGAUUCGGAAGCUUAAUCAUUGAAAAUAACUUAUGAGUAUGAAAGGCUCUAUACUCAUAAGAGUAUAGUAACCCUAGCCUAUAUAUAUAUAUAGGUCGUGGCUACUAUACUAUUAUGAGUAUUGAAGCCCUCGUACUCAUAAGUUGUUUUCGAUGUUGCAGCUUUCGAAUCGACGAUCCACUCCGUUAAAUAUGAUCUAGAGUAUUUGAAACUUCUAGAAAAUAAAUUUCGUAAAUUUUUGAAAUCAUAAUAAAGUCCAUCAAGCGGGCAUAAAAUGAACGGUCAAAAUCGAACUACGUAUUAAAAAAGGAUGAUCGGAUCCUUCAAUUCAAGAUCGGAGUUAUUGAUCUUUAUCUAGGUAGUGAAUAGAAUUUUCAUUCAACAAAUUCCGAUUCUUUUACACCGUUAAACUAGCAAGUAUCCCAUACCGACCGUUGAAAAUUGUCAAUUUUGUGAACUUUUGAUUGUAAGGUAAAUGAUGUCGAAAAAUUAUAAAAUUUGAUUUCUAGAACUUUUAAAUGCUCUAGAUAAUGUUUAACGGUAUAGAUCGUCGAUUCUGAAGCUCUAUCAUUGAGAACGACUUAUGAGUAUGAAGGCGAUCGUACUCGUAAGAGUAUAGUAGCCGAACGCUAUAUAUAUAUAUAUAUAUAUAUUGUCCGGCUACUAUACUGUUAUGUAUAUAAAGCCCUUUGUACUCAUAAGUUUUCUAUCAUUAAAUCAACCCCUUUGACUAUUUUCACCCGUUAGAUCAUACUAUUCAACCAACCACCCACUCAACCCUAGGGGACCACUAUCAUUCUAACUGGGGACCACUAUCAUCAUAACCAUACAUCUUUUCAUCCAACGGCCAAAAGCUUAUGAGUACAAAGGGCUCUAUACUCAUAAGAGCAUAGUAGCCCUAGCCUAUAUGUAGGUUUUGUGUGCUAUUAGGAGCAUGGAGGUCUCCGUGCUCCUAAGCCAUUUUCAAUGAUGGAGUUUAUGAAUCGACGAUCGGCUCCGUUAGACUUGAUCUAGCAUAUUUGAAGUAUCUAGAAAAUAAAUUUUGCGAUUUUUCGAUAUCAUUUACAUAGUGAUUGAAAGUGUUCAAAAUCAACGGUUGAAAAUAAAAAUCUCACAAAAAGUGGUGAUAUAGCUCUAAAGUUUUUUAUCAGAGAUAUUGAUCUUG
rnacentral:lncRNA from 1 species